rnacentral:lncRNA from 1 species
AUGCCAGUCUCUACCUGCAUUUGGGAGUUUUCAAGGGCUUUGAGACACUACAAAGAACAAGAAAGAAAAGGACUGGCAUUGCACCAACUCCUCCCAGCCAUGAAAGGCCACUCAGGAGAAAGCACGGACAUCACAGGUCAUCCAGAAGCAGGUCUUUAUCACCCGAAGAAGCAAAACUUACAGAUUAUAAAUUCUGAAAGUCAUUGGUGUGAUAGAAGGACUGAUUUAAUAGCACUGCACAGUUUUCUUCCACUUGUUUAACUCCUGUUAAAGAAGCAACUAAAAAAUAGAGUGCUAGGCACUGUCUCUAAGUUUUCAAGUGAGACUAAGGAAUAAUCUGGUUACAGCUCCAUAUGUUGUAUAAGUAAUGGAUAACCUCUUCCCUCAAGUUUUCUAUGAGUUGACAUAAAUAAAACCUGUAGGCUUUAUCCUGCGUUUAUUCUU